CAGCAGCCGCGGUAAAACGGAGGGUGCAAGCGUUAAUCGGAAUUACUGGGCGUAAAGCGUGCGUAGGCGGUUCGUUAAGUCUGUUGUGAAAGCCCCGGGCUCAACCUGGGAAUGGCAAUGGAUACUGGCGAGCUAGAGUGUGUCAGAGGAUGGUGGAAUUCCCGGUGUAGCGGUGAAAUGCGUAGAGAUCGGGAGGAACAUCAGUGGCGAAGGCGGCCAUCUGGGACAACACUGACGCUGAGGCACGAAAGCGUGGGGAGCAAACAGGAUUAGAUACCCGAGUAGUCCCUGUCUCUUAUAC
rnacentral:rRNA from 1 species